AUUGAACGCUGGCGGCGUGCCUAACACAUGCAAGUCGAGCGGCAGCGGGCCCGCAAGGGUGCCGGCGAGCGGCGGACGGGUGAGCAAUACAUAGGAAUCUGCCUUAGAGCGGGGGAUAGCCAGGGGAAACCCUGAUUAAUACCGCAUGAUGUCGAGAGACCAAAGUGGGGGAUCGUAAGACCUCACACUCUAAGAUGAGCCUAUGUCGGAUUAGCAGUUGGCGGGGUAACGGCCCACCAAGGCGACGAUCCGUAGCUGGUCUGAGAGGACGAUCAGCCACACCGGAACUGAGACACGGUCCGGACUCCUACGGGAGGCAGCAGUGGGGAAUAUUGGACAAUGGGCGAAAGCCUGAUCCAGCGACGCCGCGUGGGUGAAGAAGG
rnacentral:rRNA from 1 species